rnacentral:tRNA from 1 species
GGAUUGUGGCUCAGUGGUAGAGUGCUUGCCUAGCAUGCAUGAGACACUAGAUUCCAUCCCUAGCACCA